AAAACUUUUUGUAUCCUUUUGUGAAAUGAACGAAUUUGUUAUUGGUGGAAGUUAGUUAGAACACAAAGAUAUUCACUGGGUAUCACCUGGGAAUGGAUUGCACAGGAAACAAAUAGACCACACUGAAAGCAGAAGAAAAUUCUUCGUCCCAAUGAAAGAUGUUUUAGAGUGAGGAGACCAGUGCAAAUUUCUUAUUUUGUCUUAUUUGAAAUUAAUGCUUAGAAUACACCCAAAAGUUAAAAGAAGAAUGAACUUCGACACAGUCAAAUUUGACAAGGCGAUCGAAUGACAAAAAUAUUUAUUUCGUAUCUUAUGUUCAUUUCUUUAACAUUAAAUAUAUCAUAACUUUGA